GCCGGGCGUGGUGAUGCACACCUGUAAUCCCAGCUACUCAGGAGGCUGAGUCAGGAGAAUUGCUUGAACCUGGGGGGCAGAGGUUGCAGUGACCCAAGAUGGCACCACUGCACUCCAGCCUGGGUAACAGAGUGAUACCCUGUCUCAA
rnacentral:SRP_RNA from 1 species